rnacentral:rRNA from 1 species
UAGAGUUUGAUCAUGGCUCAGAUUGAACGCUGGCGGCAGGCCUAACACAUGCAAGUCGAGCGGAAACGAGUUAUCUGAACCUUCGGGGAACGAUAACGGCGUCGAGCGGCGGACGGGUGAGUAAUGCCUAGGAAAUUGCCCUGAUGUGGGGGAUAACCAUUGGAAACGAUGGCUAAUACCGCAUGAUGCCUACGGGCCAAAGAGGGGGACCUUCGGGCCUCUCGCGUCAGGAUAUGCCUAGGUGGGAUUAGCUAGUUGGUGAGGUAAGGGCUCACCAAGGCGACGAUCCCUAGCUGGUCUGAGAGGAUGAUCAGCCACACUGGAACUGAGACACGGUCCAGACUCCUACGGGAGGCAGCAGUGGGGAAUAUUGCACAAUGGGCGCAAGCCUGAUGCAGCCAUGCCGCGUGUGUGAAGAAGGCCUUCGGGUUGUAAAGCACUUUCAGUCGUGAGGAAGGUGGUGUAGUUAAUAGCUGCAUUAUUUGACGUUAGCGACAGAAGAAGCACCGGCUAACUCCGUGCCAGCAGCCGCGGUAAUACGGAGGGUGCGAGCGUUAAUCGGAAUUACUGGGCGUAAAGCGCAUGCAGGUGGUUUGUUAAGUCAGAUGUGAAAGCCCGGGGCUCAACCUCGGAAUAGCAUUUGAAACUGGCAGACUAGAGUACUGUAGAGGGGGGUAGAAUUUCAGGUGUAGCGGUGAAAUGCGUAGAGAUCUGAAGGAAUACCGGUGGCGAAGGCGGCCCCCUGGACAGAUACUGACACUCAGAUGCGAAAGC